GACGAACGCUGGCGGCGUGCCUAAUACAUGCAAGUAGAACGCUGAAGGAGGAGCUUGCUUCUCUGGAUGAGUUGCGAACGGGUGAGUAACGCGUAGGUAACCUGCCUGGUAGCGGGGGAUAACUAUUGGAAACGAUAGCUAAUACCGCAUAAGAGUAGAUGUCGCAUGACAUUUGCUUAAAAGGUGCAAUUGCAUCACUACCAGAUGGACCUGCGUUGUAUUAGCUAGUUGGUGAGGUAACGGCUCACCAAGGCAAUGAUACAUAGCCGACCUGAGAGGGUGAUCGGCCACACUGGGACUGAGACACGGCCCAGACUCCUACGGGAGGCAGCAGUAGGGAAUCUUCGGCAAUGGACGGAAGUCUGACCGAGCAACGCCGCGUGAGUGAAGAAGGUUUUCGGAUCGUAAAGCUCUGUUGUAAGAGAAGAACGAGUGUGAGAGUGGAAAGUUCACACUGUGACGGUAUCUUACCAGAAAGGGACGGCUAACUACGUG
rnacentral:rRNA from 1 species